rnacentral:rRNA from 1 species
UACGGGGGGGGGCAAGCGUUGUUCGGAAUUACUGGGCGUAAAGGGCUCGUAGGCGGCCAACUAAGUCAGACGUGAAAUCCCACGGCUCAACCGUGGAACUGCUUGGUAUACUGGGCGUCUUGAGCCAUCUAGGGGCUACCGGAACAAAUGGUGGAGCGGUGAAAUGCGUAGAUAUCAUUUGGAACGCCAAUGGUGAAAACAGGUAGCUGGGGAUGUGCUGACGCUGAGACACGAAAGCCAGGGGAGCAAACGGG